rnacentral:rRNA from 1 species
AUACGUAGGGGGCGAGCGUUGUCCGGAUUUACUGGGCGUAAAGGGUGAGUAGGCGGUUAUAUAUGUCAGAUGUAAAAGGCUAUGGCUUAACCAUAGUUAGCAUUUGAAACUGUAUGACUUGAGUGCAGGAGAGGUAAGCGGAAUUCCUAGUGUAGCGGUGAAAUGCGUAGAUAUUAGGAGGAACACCAGUGGCGAAGGCGGCUUACUGGACUGUAACUGACGCUGAGUCACGAAAGCGUGGGUAGCAAACAGGAUUAGAUACCCUGGUAGUCCACGCUGUAAACGAUGAGUGCUAGGUGUUGGGUAGCGAUACUCAGUGCCGAAGUAAACACAAUAAGCACUCCGCCUGGGGAGUACGUACGCAAGUAUGAA